rfam:Otolemur garnettii contig011786, whole genome shotgun sequence.
UAGUGUUACAGCUCUUUUAGAAUUUGUCUAGCAGGUUUUCUGGUCUCUACCAGAAGACACCUCC